AACGAACGCUGGCGGCAUGCCUAACACAUGCAAGUCGAACGAGACCUUCGGGUCUAGUGGCGCACGGGUGCGUAACGCGUGGGAACCUGCCCUUAGGUUCGGAAUAACUCCCCGAAAGGGGUGCUAAUACCGGAUAAUGUCUUCGGACCAAAGAUUUAUCGCCUUUGGAUGGGCCCGCGUUGGAUUAGCUAGUUGGUAGGGUAAAAGCCUACCAAGGCGACGAUCCAUAGCUGGCCUGAGAGGAUGAUCAGCCACACUGGGACUGAGACACGGCCCAGACUCCUACGGGAGGCAGCAGUGGGUAAUAUUGGACAAUGGGCGAAAGCCUGAUCCAGCAAUGCCGCGUGAGUGAUGAAGGCCUUAGGGUUGUAAAGCUCUUUUACCCGGGAUGAUAAUGACAGUACCGGGAGAAUAAGCUCCGGCUAACUCCGUG
rnacentral:rRNA from 1 species